rnacentral:rRNA from 1 species
GACGAACGCUGGCGGCGUGCCUAACACAUGCAAGUCGAACGCAGUGGGGACGGGUGAGUAACACGUGGGUAACCUCCCAUCAGAGGGGAUAACACUUGGAAACAGGUGCUAAACCGAUACUGAUGGAUGGACCCGGGGUGCAUUAGCUAGUUGGUGAGGUAACGGCUCACCAAGGCCACGAUGAAUAGCCGGCCUGGGAGGGUGAUCGGCCACACUGGGACUGGGACACGGCCCAGACUCCUACGGGAGGCAGCAGUAGGGAAUAUUGGGCAAUGGACGAAAGUCUGACCGAGCAACACCGCGUGAGUGAAGAAGGUUUUCGGAUCGUAAAGCUCGGUUGUUAGAGAGGCGGUAUCUAACCAGAAAGCCACGGCUAACUACGUGCCAGCAGCCGCGGUAAUAC